rnacentral:rRNA from 1 species
GGGGGAAUAUUGGGCAAUGGGCGCAAGCCUGACCCAGCAACGCCGCGUGAAGGAAGAAGGCUUUCGGGUUGUAAACUUCUUUUAAGAGGGAAGAGCAGAAGACUGUACCUCUAGAAUAAGCCACGGCUAACUACGUGCCAGCAGCCGCGGUAAUACGUAGGUGGCAAGCGUUGUCCGGAUUUACUGGGUGUAAAGGGCGUGCAGCCGGGAAUGCAAGUCAGAUGUGAAAUCCAUGGGCUUAACCCAUGAACUGCAUUUGAAACUGUAUUUCUUGAGUACUGGAGAGGCAAAUCGGAAUUCCUAGUGUAGCGGUGAAAUGCGUAGAUAUUAGGAGGAACACCAGUGGCG